AUGGACAGAGUCCUAGCACCUAGUGUUCUGAACAGAGAAGGCUGUUCUGGCAAACCAGUGAGGCACUUUCCUUUUAUGGUCACUCUCGCAACCUGGGGGAGGUGCUUCCUGGAGCAACCCAGAGCCCACGCCUGCAACGGGCAUUCCUCCACCCUGUUUAUGAGGCACAACCAGUAACACUCCCACGCCAGCCCACUCCACUUCUGAGGCCACCCGGGUGAAGAAACGGAGGUUCAGCAAGCGUUGCUCAGCUGUUAGGCGGUGUGUUUGCAUCUGGGAACAAGCCCUCGGGCUGCUCUCUGCCCGCAUGGGCUCCUUUGAUCGCCUCAACAACGCCUGACAGGAGAUUCUGGCACUUUUCAUUUCUCAGGCCACUCCUUUGCCCCCACUGUCUGCCCACCAGCGCAAGGUCUCAGAAACACUCAGAAGCUCCAUGAGGAGGCUGGAGAAGCCCCAUCCAUCAAGACCUUGAAAGGCCCCAGGCAGGUGUGGAGUAUGGCCUGCCAGGGGGUUAGAGACUCCUUCACACAAGAUUGUGGAGGGAUAUUGUAGAAGAUCCUCAAACUUUAGAUAAGGAUGGAUUCGACAGUCUUUCAGGAUCUCUUCCAACCCAGAGAGCCUACACAGUUAUUUCACUGAGAAGAAAAUGAUGACAAAAUCUUGAGCGCAUUGAAGGAAGGAAUGUGCCUUAUUCGUCAUGGACUCACUAUCCCUAGAACAUACGGGCACAUGUAAUAAAUAUGUCAGUAGAUACAGUAGCCUUAUUCAACAAAUGAGGGUCAGAGAAUCAGGAUUGGGGCUGCUGCUUGCUCAGGUGAGCCACAUGUGAGGUCCCCGGUCACCUGGCUGAUCUAGUUAAUGAGGCCCCACCCCAUCUCUCUGCUGGUUAGUUACCCUAUCUAUGUUGCCACCUUGAAACUUUGGGUGUGCAUUUAAAGAACCCCCACCUCCAAACAGUGGCCCCCAGCAUCCACUGGACAAAAGAUGGUCAGGGCGACAGUCCCCAGACGCUCUAUCGCCCUUCCUUUCUCUCUCAGAGAUGGGGCAAAGCAGGAGUGAC